rnacentral:rRNA from 1 species
GACGAACGCUGGCGGCGUGCUUAACACAUGCAAGUCGAACGGAAAGGCCCUGCUUUUGUGGGGUGCUCGAGUGGCGAACGGGUGAGUAACACGUGAGUAACCUGCCCUUGACUUUGGGAUAACUUCAGGAAACUGGGGCUAAUACCGGAUAGGAGCUCCUGCUGCAUGGUGGGGGUUGGAAAGUUUCGGCGGUUGGGGAUGGACUCGCGGCUUAUCAGCUUGUUGGUGGGGUAGUGGCUUACCAAGGCUUUGACGGGUAGCCGGCCUGAGAGGGUGACCGGCCACAUUGGGACUGAGGUACGGCCCAGACUGCUACGGGAGGGAGCAGGUGGGAAUAUUGCACAAUGGGCGGAAGCCUGAUGCAGCAACGCCGCGUGCGGGAUGACGGCCUUCGGGUUGUAAACCGCUUUCGCCUGUGACGAAGCGUGAGUGACGGUAAUGGGUAAAGAAGCACCGGCUAACUACGUG